GGAUUUAUUGGGUGUAAAGGGUGCGUAGACGGGAAAUUAAGUUAGUUGUGAAAUCCCUUGGCUUAACUGCGGAACUGCAACUAAAACUGGUUUUCUUGAGUACUGGAGAGGAAAGUGGAAUUCCUAGUGUAGCGGUGAAAUGCGUAGAUAUUAGGAGGAACACCAGUGGCGAAGGCGACUUUCUGGACAGUUACUGACGUUGAGGCACGAAAGUGUGGGGAGCAAACAGGAUUAGAUACCCUGGUAGUCCACACUGUAAACGAUGGAUACUAGGUGUAGGGUGUAUUAAGCACUCUGUGCCGCCGCAAACGCAUUAAGUAUCCCACCUGGGGAGUACGACCGCAAGGUUGAAACUCAAAGGAAUUGACGGGGACCCGCACAAGUAGCGGAGCAUGUGGUUUAAUUCGAAGCAACGCGAAGAACCUUACCUAAGCUUGACAUCCUUUUGACCGAUGCCUAAUCGCAUCUUUCCCUUCGGGGACAGAAGUGACAGGUGGUGCAUGGUUGUCGUCAGCUCGUGUCGUGAGAUGUUGGGUUAAGUCCCGCAACGAGCGCAACCCUUGCCUUUAGUUGCCAGCAUUAAGUUGGGCACUCUAGAGGGACUGCCCGGGAUAACCGGGAGGAAGGUGGGGAUGACGUCAAAUCAUCAUGCCCCUUAUGAUCUGGGCUACACACGUGCUACAAUGGCAGUUACAAAGAGAAGCGAUCCCGCGAGGGGGAGCAAACCUCAGAAAGGCUGUCUCAGUUCGGAUUGUAGUCUGCAACUCGACUACAUGAAGCUGGAAUCGCUAGUAAUCGCGAAUCAGAAUGUCGCGGUGAAUACGUUCCCGG
rnacentral:rRNA from 1 species